rnacentral:rRNA from 1 species
UACGUAGGGUGCGAGCGUUGUUCGGAAUUACUGGGCGUAAAGCGCGCGUAGGCGGCUUUGUAAGUUAGAGGUGAAAGCCCGGGGCUCAACCCCGGAAUUGCCUUUAAGACUGCAUCGCUUGAAUCCGGGAGAGGUGAGUGGAAUUCCGAGUGUAGAGGUGAAAUUCGUAGAUAUUCGGAAGAACACCAGUGGCGAAGGCGGCUCACUGGACCGGCAUUGACGCUGAGGUGCGAAAGCGUGGGGAGCAAACAGG